UACGUAGGGUGCAAGCGUUGUCCGGAAUUAUUGGGCGUAAAGAGCUCGUAGGCGGUUUGUCGCGUCUGCUGUGAAAACUCAGGGCUUAACCCUGAGCCUGCAGUGGGUACGGGCAGACUAGAGUGUGGUAGGGGAGAUCGGAAUUCCUGGUGUAGCGGUGGAAUGCGCAGAUAUCAGGAGGAACACCGGUGGCGAAGGCGGGAUCUCUGGGCCGAUACUGACGCUGAGGAGCGAAAGCGUGGGGAGCGAACAGG
rnacentral:rRNA from 1 species